GCCCGGGUGGUGAAAUUGGUAGACGCAGCGGACUUAAAAUCCGCGGCCUGAAAAGGCGUACGGGUUCGAGUCCCGUCCUGGGCACCA
rnacentral:tRNA from 1 species